rnacentral:other from 1 species
GACACCCUGCAGUGUACGAGGUGCUUUCAUUUAACAGCUCUUUGCCUUUGAAACAAUUCGGGAGCCGCAAACGACGGCGGGAUGCCAGGCCGUAAACCGGAAGGCAAAAAACCGUCUGGUGGCGCCCACCUUUCUACAAAAAGGUCACGAGCCUUUGAGCGCACGGCACAGGCGGGGUGUCA